GACGCGGGGCGGGCCGCGGGCCGCGGGCUGCAGGACGGCGGGCGCUGGGUUCGGCCUGGCUGGGCCAGCGGCUCCUAACACCGGACGGGCGGCUGCGGCGGCACUUCCGGGUUGGCCUUCUCCAUGUUGGUCUCGGGAACGUGAAGGGGCGGGGCCUCGAGGUCAGGGGUCAGCGCCUCCCUGGUUGCCGUGGCGACUGGAGGCACGCGACGCGGGCGCGAUGGCGGGGACUCUAGGCCCGGGAUUUGAUGCUGCUUGGGCCUGGCCCAGUGGCGGGUCCUGGGGACGUGGCAGAGGCCGGCAGACUAGAGUUUUCAUCUCAUGGAAAAUUCAGAAUCAGAAUCAAAAACAGCUGAGGUAGUUACUCGGGUGCCUUCCUUCAACCUAUUCAAAAGAAUAUAGGAUGAACGGAGUGAAGACCCAAGCUUUCUGAACUUCAUUGAGCCAGAAAGAUGUGUUUUAUUUCAUGGAGUUUAUGGAAUGACUACAGCAUAGGUAAGCUUUUACACAGCACCACAUUGACUUGAGGUAAUCAUAAAAUAAAAAUGGACAAGGAGACCC
rnacentral:lncRNA from 1 species